UACGGAGGGGGCUAGCGUUGUUCGGAAUUACUGGGCGUAAAGCGCACGUAGGCGGCUUUGCAAGUUAGAGGUGAAAGCCCGGGGCUCAACUCCGGAAUUGCCUUUAAAACUGCAUCGCUAGAAUUGUGGAGAGGUAAGUGGAAUUCCGAGUGUAGAGGUGAAAUUCGUAGAUAUUCGGAAGAACACCAGUGGCGAAGGCGACUUACUGGACACAUAUUGACGCUGAGGCGCGAAAGCGUGGGUAGCAAACAGG
rnacentral:rRNA from 1 species